rnacentral:misc_RNA from 1 species
AAGAGUUAGGGUCUUCUCGGCCCGACCUCCCAACCCUUUGUCUAUUGAACCUCUGUUGCUUCGGCGGACCCGUCCCUUCGGGGACCGCCGGAGGACCGUCGCAAGGCGUCCUCUGGUCCGCGUCCGCCGGUGGCCGACCAUUUAAACUCUUGAUUAAAUCAUGUUAUGCUGUCUAAGUUAAAAUUAAAUAAAGCAAA